rnacentral:rRNA from 1 species
GACGAACGCUGGCGGCGUGCUUAACACAUGCAAGUCGAACGGAAAGGCCCUGCUUUUGUGGGGUGCUCGAGUGGCGAACGGGUGAGUAACACGUGCGUAACCUGCCCUUGACUUUGGGAUAACUUCAGGAAACUGGGGCUAAUACCGGAUAGGAGCUCCUGCUGCAUGGUGGGUGUUGGAAAGUUUCGGCGGUUGGGGAUGGACUCGCGGCUUAUCAGCUUUUUGGUGGGGUAGUGGCUUACCAAGGCUUUGACGGGUAGCCGGCCUGAGAGGGUGACCGGCCACAUUGGGACUGAGAUACGGCCCAGACUCCUACGGGAGGCAGCAGUGGGGAAUAUUGCACAAUGGGCGGAAGCCUGAUGCAGCAACGCCGCGUGCUGGAUGACUGCCUUCGGGUUGUAAACCGCUUUCGCCUGUGACGAAGCGUGAGUGACGGUAAUGGGUAAAGAAGCACCGGCUAACUACGUG